UUCUUUAUAAGAGCUUUGAUACAUGAAAAAUAUUCGAAAACAAUGUCCGAACAUAUAAUUUCCACCCGUAAUAUAGCAAAGAUCACGAAAAGGCCCAAAAAAGUACAUUAAGUUUAAAAUUUGGAGUAGAAAAAAAACCAAUAGAAGAAUUCCAUUUUCCUUCCUCAGUCAUCGGAGAGCUCUCUUUGGGCUUUCCGAAAAGGUAUCACAUGCCAAGUUUGACCUCACGGUCUAAAGGUUAUAGAGUCAUACAUUUUUAACAAAAAAAAAUAGAAAAACAGGAAAAAAGAGGGAUGCAAUACGAGGACUUUCCAGGAGGUCACCCAUCCUAGUACAACUCUCGCCGAAGCACGCUUAACUGCGGUGUUCAGAUGGGAUCUGGUGCAUUAGUGCUCGUAUGAUGGCAUUUGUUACUACAUGCAAUGCAAUCGUAUCUACUCUUAUUUAAAGACUUUAUGAUCCAUUUGCCGUGGGUGCCACCAACUAUGUAGGAUUAUCCUAUAUUCUUUAUAAGAGCUUUGAUACAUGCAAAAUAUUCGAAAGCAAUGUCCGAACAUAUAAUUUCCCCCCCGUAAUAUAGCAAAGAUCACGAAAAGGCCCGAAAAAGUACAUUUAGUUCAAAAUUUGGAGUAGAAAAAAAAACAAUAGAAGAAUUCCAUUUUCCUUCGUCAUUCAUCGGAGAGCUCUCUUUAGGCUUUCCGAAAAGGUAUCACAUGCCAAGUUUGGCCUCACGGUCUAAAAGUUAUAGAGUCAUACAUUUUCAACAAAACAAAAUAGAGAAACAC
rnacentral:sRNA from 1 species